ACAGGAUGCAGUGUUCACAGUCUGUGGUUGGAGAACCCUUGGUAGCCUAGCUGUAUUGUUUACUCUCCACCCCAGCUAAAAGCAUUGGUGUAGUGAAGAGAGCACAUGUGCCUGAGUUUUGGGAUGCUGAGCACAGAAAGCCCCAUUUGGUGACUCUUUCGGAGCACUAAGGCAGCAGCAGUGCAAUGUGGCUGAGUGAUUCACACUGUUUCUGUUAAAGUUCUGUGCCUUUUUAAAAUUGGGCAGGAGCGUCUGGAAGCAAUGAUGCGCCGCUCCCUGGAGCGUACACAGCAGCUAGAGCUGAAGAAGAAGUGCUCAUGGGCAGGAUCAGCAGCUUCAGGGCCUGGAGGACGUGAUGCAUGUGACAAACUUUCAACAUCAACCAUGAAUUUGCCAAAGCAGACGGAACCUCCUAUGAGUAAACACCUGUCUUCAUCCAUCGUGGCAAUAUCUUAUUCCCCAGACCGAGCUCUCAGGAGCCCUCUCAAAUCGUCAUACAAGUCCUCUCCAACCCGGACCACUGAGAAAAAGAAGAAUACACUUUUAUCUGGUGUGGGAGAUGCUGGGAAGGGAGCCAUGACUGGAGGAGAGCCUUCACAGAUGGAGAAAGUGAAGAAGGGACGAGGGGCAACUUCUGUUUCUUCUGGGGGUCUUGGGUCCCCACUGAGAAGAUGCGAGCCUCCUGAAAACAUUUCCAAGAGGUCAUCUUCUCCUGUGAAAUCCAAGGUAACUGCAAAAACAUAUCCACAGUCUCCAAAGACAGUGAAGCCCACAUACAUAGGGUCUCCUGUGAAGUAUUACUUUCCACCCACUCCAAGUGAAGAAACACUCAAGAAGAAGGCAGAAAAAGAGAAGAGUAAUAAGGAAAAGGAAGGUGCCACUGGUCGGCAGACCACUGUUCUACCCAGAGAAGAAACCCUGGAGAAGCCCAUGGCUGACAAGG
rnacentral:lncRNA from 1 species